rnacentral:rRNA from 1 species
AACGAACGCUGGCGGCGUGCCUAACACAUGCAAGUCGAGCGAGAAAGUCCCUUCGGGGGCGAGUAGAGCGGCGGACGGGUGAGUAAUACAUAGAUAAUCUCCCUUCGAGCUCGGGAUAACCCUGCGAAAGCGGGGCUAAUACCGGAUAAGACCACGUGGCCCAGGCCAUGCGGUAAAAGGUUGCCUUAAUUUCGGUUGAGGCUAUCACUUGUGGAUGAGUCUAUGGCCUAUCAGCUUGUUGGUGAGGUAAAAGCUCACCAAGGCUAUGACGGGUAGCUGGUCUGAGAGGACGACCAGCCACACUGGGACUGAGACACGGCCCAGACUCCUACGGGUGGCUG